AAAGUUUUGGGACGCCUGCCUUUACGUGCACAUGAACUUUAAUGACAUCCCAUUCUUAAUCCACAGGGUUUAAUAUGGAGUUGGCCCACCCUUUGCAGCUAUAACAGCGCAUUUGUGAGGUCAGGCAGUGAUGUUGGACGAGAAGGCCUGGCUCACAGUCUCCUCUCUAAUUCAUCCCAAAGGUGUUCUGUCGGGUUGAGGUCAGGACUCUGUGCAGGCAAGUCAAGUUCCUCCACACCAAACUCGCUCAUCCAUGUCUUUAUGGACCUUGCUUUGUGCACUGGUACACAGUCAUGUUGGAACAGGAAGGGGCCAUCCCCAAACUGUUCCCACAAAGUUGGGAGCAUGAAAUUGUCCAAAAUGUCUUGGUAUGUUGAAGCAUUAAGAGUUCCUUCCACUGGAAUUAAGGGGCCAAGCCCAACCCCUGAAAAACAACCCCACACCAUAAUCCCCCCUCCACCAAACUUUACACUUGGCACAAUGCAGUCAGGCAAGUACCGUUCUCCUGGCAACCGCCAAACCCAGACUCGUCCAUUGGAUUGCCAGACAGAGAAGCGUGAUUCGUCACUCCAGAGAACAUGUCUCCACUGCUCCAGAGUCCAGUGGCGGCGUGCUUUACACCACUGCAUCCAACGCUUUGCAUUUCACUUGGGGAUGUAAGGCUUGGAUGCAGCUGCUCGGCCAUGGAAACCCAUUCCCUGAAGCUCUCUACACACUGUUCUUGAGCUAAUCUAAAGGCAACAUGAAGUUUGGAGGUCUGUAGCUAUUGACAGAAAGUUGGCGACUUCUGCGUACUGUGCGCCUCAGCAUGCGCUGACCCCGCUCUGUGAUUUUACGUGGCCUACCACUUCGUGGCUGAGUUGCUGUUGUUCCCAAUUUUUUCCACUUUCUUAUGAUACCACUAACAGUGGACCGUGGAUUUAGUAGUGAGGAAAUUUCACAAAUGGACUUAUUGCACAGGUGGUAACCUAUCACGGUACCACGCUUGAAUUCACUGAGCUCCUGAGAGCGACCCAUUCUUUCACAAAUGUUUGUAGAAGCAGUCUGCAUGCCUAGGUGCUUGAUUUUAUACACCUGUGGCCAUGGAAGUGAUUGGAACACCUGAAUUCAAUGAUUUGGAGGGGUGUCCCAAUACUUUUGGCAAUAUAGUGUGUAUAUAUAUAUAUAUAUAUUUUUUUUUUUUUUUUUUUUUAACUUAAAGCUGCUGUCCAUAACUUUUUUGGGUUAAAAAUGAUCAAAAAUCAAUUUUUGAGCAAGUACAUAACCAGUGUAUAAAACUGAUUAUGUACUUGCUCUCCUUACUCUCCUUACCUUAGCUCGAUUCACAACGGUAAGCUUGUAAUGUUUUCUAAUAAGAGCGGCUCUGGUGGGUUUCUGUGGGAAAUUCGAGCAUGCAGCCGUUCGUCUUUGCAUCAUUACGUCACAUCUGUUUGCAUAGAGAAGGAAUCCCAGCUAGUAGGCUAUAUAACAUGUGAGGAUGCUGUGAUGGAUCAUUUAUACCGUUUUCUCACAAAAGCUGGAAUAAUUAAAUGUAUCAUUUUGAUGGCGGAUUGCAGUCCAGAAAGGUCCAAAUGACAAUCAUCAGUGACAACUGGAGAUUCACCCGUAGUCAAAAGCAAAAGACUUUGGACUGUGGAGUGGCUACAGAAAUUGAAAUCUACAGGUAACGCUAAUACACACUAAAUACACAUAGUCACGCAAUGCUGAUGUUGUUAACAUUAACAAUUUGAGAACAAAGUAUAACAAUGAUAAUAAUUUGCAAGGUUUGACGUGAUCCGUUAGAUUUAAUCACCAUUGGCAGCACGAUUCAUUGAAAUGCUUUUUUUCUCAGUUGGUCAGAACAAAAGUGGCAGACAUGUUACUUACUUGUUCAGAUGACAUUUUCCGAAGAAAAUUCUUAUUUUGGUCAUACUUCCAAGAUAUAGAAUCUGUGAUUCCGAAGUACAGUAUCCACACUGAUGUGGUGACUGACAGCAAACAUUAGAUUCAUCCGCGCUGAGGAGCUGUGCCGAUGCACAAACCACGUAAAAAUGAUAAUUCCGCAAAUAACUGCAAUUGCAGGUUUCAAACAGAGAUGGCGACAAAGAGGCAAAUCUUACGGACUGCAGCUUUAAAGCACAUGUAGAGUAGGGUCUCAUGUUCAGUCUUUUAUUUCAAUCAAUUAAAGGCAUAUAUUACAGUGCUGACUGUGAGGGAAUUUAUUCAAAAGAUCAUCCCACCUUGUGUGUGUGAGAGAAGCACGUGGUGUUGGAAUUCAUUGUGGUCCAAAGUGACUGAAUGAUAGCCAUCAUCACAGUUAGGAAUAAUAGGACUAUGUAAAACCCAUAGCAACCUAGAAACAACAGCAAGGUUAGGCUGUAAUGUGUAAUAUUCUUUAGUGACUUUAUAAGGAGCCCUAUAGUUCUCAAACCAGGAUCACACACCCAUUUUUACACAUGGUUUUAUGAUUUCUCAUUAAAUCAUAAAAAAACAGCUUUUUAAGCUUAGGUGUGUCUGUUUAUAGAAGUUUAAAGUUUAAAGGAAUGGCACAUCUCCACAAACAAAUUCAGAAAAGACGAGAACCUAAACUGAGGUGAAUAACCUUACUUUUCAUUAAUGAUUCGUCGCUGAGUAAGUAAAAAAACAGACAAGUGCUUUACAUUGAUUAGUUUUAGUCAGCCAUUAUCAGCUAAAUACUGCAAUUUAUGACAUGUAAAUUUUAGUGAACAUAUUAUAGCCUAAUUAGAAUGUGGAAUGUGAACUAAACUUUAAUCAAUCUAUUUAAAAAGAAACUUUUUAACUGAUUUUACUCCACCAGUGUGCUGUGUGGUAAAUGAGACUUCAGAUUGUAUGUUGUCAUGUGGAAAUACAAUCUUGAAAGUGACUUAUAUCAUGACGGAUGGAAGCUGGUUCAGGAAUCGAUCAUGUUCAAGUUGGUGGUUCUGGUUCUAGUAACGUUACUCAGUAUAACGGUCUAGAUGAAGAUGGCUACAAUGCAACCCUUUUGCAUUAUUCUGGCAUUUCCUUCUGUAAUGAUGUGGUGGUUUCUGUGGUGGACAAGGCAGGAAAUAGGGGAAAGUGUCCUGUUAUUAUAAAACAUGUUACAAACACAGUCAAGCCAGUGACUGUCAGUCCCACAUCCAGUAGCUCCACCAUAACCGUCUCUCUUUGGUCAAGUUUAAUACUGACAACACUUAAAUCUACACUGCUCUAAGAUGGAUGCGCACUUUACGUACACUCACUUUAUUUUUAACUGUCAAACUAAUGUCAAACUUGUGGAAGUAUCAUGUAUUUCUAUUAAUUCCAAAUUGUAUUCUACUUCAUAAAGUGCUGAACAACCACAACUAUAUUUUACGUUAUAUAGAGCAGGCCUACUAGGUCUGGUUGAAACAAAGCCCUUAACCUAAGAAAAUAAGAAUUCAAUUGUCAUUCCAAGUCUGAUAUUGAGAUAUUUGUGCAAACAUAAUUAAAAAAAGAUCAUUCAAAGAUAGUCUAACUGAAUGAUGUUAAGAUAAAUGACUGUCCUUGUAGAGUAGACAAUGAUGGCACCUGGGAUUAAGAUACUGGAUACAAUUUAUCGUGUUUUCGUUUCUAGUAAAUUUCAUGUUUUGUUUUGUUUGUUUUGUUUUGUUUUGUUGUGUUAUAGCGCCUCCAAGUGGCCAAGUCUGGCUAAGUUUUUCCACGUAAAUGUCAAUUCACGAAUAAAAAAUAUUUUAUAUGAAUUAUUUUAAUGAAUUAUCAAUAAAAAUUAGUCAAUAGAUUCUAAAUGAAAUCACCAUAGUUACUUAACAGAUGAUAAAAUGUUAUAUUGCUUCAUAUGGCCAGCUUAUUUCUUAAUAUUUUAUUGUGAGAGAGGCAUUUAGGCUAUUUAUCAUCCAGUUCAGCAUGUCCUUGUCUUUUUUACUCCACCUGAGGAGAUAUUUUCUGCUUAGGUGCAUGUUGGAGCGUCACGUGAUAUCUGAAGAAAAUGACUGAAUGAUCACAGUUAGGAAAAACAGUCAGCAGUUGUUCAGAAUGGUUCAGAUUGCAAAGACACUGGUCUUUCUCUACAUGCUGAUUGGAUGGUCACAGGCUUUUCCGCAGUGAUGUCAUCAAAGAAAAUGAAGCAAAUAAAGAUGCAGACAGGGUAGAGGGAGAAAUACGAGAUGCUAUACUGAAUGUCACUGAUUUUACUCCACCAGUGUGCAGUGUGGUAAAUGAGACUUCAGACUGUCUUUUAUCAUGUGGAAAUACAAUUAUGGAAGUGACUUAUAUGAUGACAGACGGAGCUGGUUCAGGAAUCGAUUACACCAGUGUUCAUUCCUUUGGUGGGGGUUUUAGCAACUUUACUCAAUAUGAUGGUCUAGAUGAAGAUGGCUACAAAGCUAUCUUUUUGCAUUAUUCUGGCAUUUGCUGUCUUGAAGAUGUGAAUGUUUCUGUGGUGGACAAAGCAGGAAACACAGGAAAGUGUCCUGUUGUUGUAAAACGUGUCAAUCCAAUGACUUUCAUUCUCUCGUAGCUUCACCACAACAAUCUCUCUUUGGUCAAUACUGAUGAUAAGAUGUACAUGAAAAAUGUACAUGUUCAAUAAUUUAGUACAGUAAAAUUACUUGAUUUCAAUAUUAAGUCAAUGCUUGAGUAAUGGUAUAAUACAUGAAAAUGUAGUAAUAUUGCUUGCCAAUAUUUUGUAAUUUAGCAGUUUAAAACAUGUAUUUUCAUUGUUUGUAACUGAAUGAACUGAUUGUUAAAAGUACUAAACUGAAAGAAGAUCAUACUGUUGUGUUUCGGUGAUUAAACCAAAUGUUCUCAUUACAUAUCACAAUGAUCUUGUGAUUUGAAACAAUGAUUAUGUAGAAUGAAUAUAAGUACAACUAGAAUGAAAGCCUGAGAUCAGGUUUUGAAAGAAUGACUAGCUGUGUUACAAGUGUGAUCAGUUUGGAGUUUUGAAAAUGUACACCUUGUGAAAAUAGUACCAAAGCGGAAAAAACAACAACAACUAAGUACUAACACAAUUGUUUUCAACUCAUUUUAAUUAAGUAAAUUGUACAAGCAGCAACAUUCAUUUCAAUCAAAUCAAUGAAGUUUAUUGUUUUCCUAGAUUUCUAAUCUUGUCUAACUUUCUGUUUUCCCUUCCUAGUGUUUCUUGUCUUGUCAUUGGAUUAUUGUUCUGAUUAUAGUCUUGCGUCGCUCGUUUAAUUUUAGCUUUAUAUUUCUUGUGUAUAUAACCCUGAUUUUGUCUAACUUUUGCUAAUGCAUCUUUUGGUGAGUGUCUUGCUUUGGUU